rnacentral:rRNA from 1 species
CAUUCCUAGCUUGCUAGGAGAUGACGAGCGGCGGACGGGUGAGUAAUGCUUGGGAAUAUGCCUUAUGGUGGGGGACAACAGUUGGAAACGACUGCUAAUACCGCAUAACGUCUACGGACCAAAGGAGGGGAUCUUCGGACCUUUCGCCAUUUGAUUAGCCCAAGUGAGAUUAGCUAGUUGGUGAGGUAAUGGCUCACCAAAGCGACGAUCUCUAGCUGGUUUGAGAGGAUGAUCAGCCACACUGGGACUGAGACACGGCCCAGACUCCUACGGGAGGCAGCAGUGGGGAAUAUUGCACAAUGGGCGAAAGCCUGAUGCAGCCAUGCCGCGUGUGUGAAGAAGGCCUUCGGGUUGUAAAGCACUUUCAGUUGUGAGGAAAGGGAUGUAGUUAAUAACUGCAUUCUGUGACGUUAACAACAGAAGAAGCACUGGCUAACUUCGUGCCAGCAGCCGCGUUAAUACGAGGGGUGCAAGCGUUAAUCGGAAUUACUGGGCGUAAAGCGUUCGUAGGCGGUUAUUUAAGCAAGAUGUGAAAGCCCAGGGCUCAACCUUGGAACUGCAUUUUGAACUGGGUAACUAGAGUACUGUAGAGGGUGGUGGAAUUUCCAGUGUAGCGGUGAAAUGCGUAGAGAUUGGAAGGAACAUCAGUGGCGAAUGCGGCCACCUGGACAGAUACUGA